AUACUUACCUGGACGGGGUCAAUGGGCGAUCAAUAAGACCCAUGGCCUAGGCAUGUGGUCUCCAUUGCACUUAGGAGGGGUGCUUGUCUAAGGUCGGCCCAAGUGGUCAAGCCUACGUCAUAAUUUGUUGCAGCGGGGCUUGCGUUCGCACAGCCCCUAC